GCACUGCUGAGGAGUCUCAUGGUAGGACGAAACGGCCGUCCAGUGC
rfam:Schistosoma rodhaini strain Burundi genome assembly, scaffold: SROB_scaffold0013108